rnacentral:rRNA from 1 species
UACGAAGGGGGGCUAGCGUUGUUCGGAUUUACUGGGCGUAAAGCGCACGUAGGCGGAUCUUUAAGUCAGGGGUGAAAUGCCGCGGCUCACCGCGGAACUGCCUUUGAUACUGGGGAUCUGGAGUCCGGGAGAGGUGAGCGGAACUGCGAGUGUAGAGGUGAAAUUCGUAGAUAUUCGCAAGAACACCAGUGGCGAAGGCGGCUCACUGGCCCGGUACUGACGCUGAGGUGCGAAAGCGUGGGAGCAACAGGAGUUAAGAAACCCUUGAGACCGUUCG